CAAAUGGAUGACUAGGGUUCCGGUCCGCAUGCAAGUCGAUGCGUGACGCUGGUCCGAGAGUUGUCGACCUCGAACGAGGUUACACGGCGGGACAAAAGCCCGGGAGAG
rnacentral:sRNA from 2 species